rnacentral:rRNA from 1 species
GACGAACGCUUGCGGCGUGCUUCACACAUGCAAGUCGAACGAAGUGGCGAACGGGUGAGUAAUACGUGGGUAACCUGCCCUCCUUUUUGGGAUAAGCCUUGGAAACGGGGUCUAAUACCGAAUAAAGGGGGAUGGGCUCGCGGCCUAUCAGCUUGUUGGUGGGGUGAUGGCCUACCAAGGCGGUGACGGGUAGCCGGCCUGAGAGGGUGACCUGACACAGUGGGACGGAGAUACGGCCCAGACUCGUACGGGAGGCAGCAGUGGGGGAUAUGGCACAAUGGGCGAAAGGCUGAUGCAGCGACGCCGCGUGGGGGAUGAAGGCUUUCGGGUUGUAAACCUCUUACGCAAUAGAAAGGGUAGGUGGAGAAGAAGCGCCGGCUAACUACGUGCCAGCAGCCGCGGUAAUUC